rnacentral:rRNA from 1 species
AUUGAACGCUGGCGGCAUGCCUUACACAUGCAAGUCGAACGGUAACAGGUCUUCGGAUGCUGACGAGUGGCGAACGGGUGAGUAAUACAUCGGAACGUGCCUAGUCGUGGGGGAUAACUACUCGAAAGAGUGGCUACUACCGCAUGAGAUCUACGGAUGAAAGCAGGGGAUCGCAAGACCUUGUGCUACUAGAGCGGCCGCUUGCAGAUUAGGUAGUUGGUGGGAUAAAAGCUUAGCACGCCGACGAUCUGUAGCUGGUCUCAGAGGACGAUCAGCCACACUGGGAAUGAGACACGGCCCAGACUCAUACGGGAGGCAGCAGUGGGGAAUUUUGGACAAUGGGCGAAAGCCUGAUCCAGCAAUGCCGCGUGCAGGAUGAAGGCCUUCGGGUUGUAAACUGCUUUUGUACGGAACGAAAAGCCCCGGGUUAAUACCCUGGGGUCAUGACGGUACCGUAAGAAUAAGCACCGGCUAACUACGUGCCAGCCGCCGCGGUAA